UAAAAGAAAGAGGUUUAAUUGACUCACAGUUCAGCAUGGCUGGGAAGGCUUCAGAAAACUUAGAAUCAUGGUGAAUGCAAACAAGAAUCAAGGCACCUUCUUCACAAGGCAGCAGGAGGUGCUGAGCGAAAGGGGAAAAGCCCCUUAUAAAACCUUCAGGUAUCACUCACUGUCAUGAGACCAGCAUGGGGUAACCACCCCCAUGAUUCAAUUACCUCCAACUGGGUUACUCCCACAACAUGUAGGGAUUGUGGAAACUACAAUUCAAGGUGAGAUUUGGGUGGGGACACAGCCAAACCAUAUCAUUCUGCCCCCAGCCCCUUCCAAAUCUCAUGUCCUUACAUUUUAAAACAUGAUCAUGCCUUUCUAACAGUCCCCCAAAGUCUUAGCUCAUUCCAGCAUUAACCCAAAUGUCCAAGUCCAAAGUCUUAUCUUAGACAAGGCAAGGCCCUUCUUCCUAUGAGCCUGUAAAAUCAAAAUCAAGUUAGUUACUUCAUAGAUUCAAUGAAGAUAUAGGCAUUGGGUAAAUACACCUGUUCCAAAUGGGAGAAAUUGGCCAAAAUGAAGGGAUUGCAGGCCCCAUGCAAGUCCAAAAUUCAAUGGGUCAGUCAAAUCUUGAAGCUCUGUAAUGAUUUCCUUUGACUUCGUGUCUCACAUCCAGGUCACACUGAAGCAAGAGGUGGGCUCUCAUGGCCUUGGGCAGCUCCACCCCUGUUGAUUUGCAGGGUACAGCCCUCCUCCUGGCUGCUUUCACAGGCUGGUGCUGAGUGUCUGUGGCUUUUCCAGACAAUACGGUGCAAGCUGUCAGUGUGUCCACCAUUCUGGAGUCUGGAGGAUGGUGGCCCUCUUCUCUCAGCUCCAUUAGGCAGUGCCCCAGUGGGGACUGUGUGGGGGCUCUGACCCCGCAUUUCCCUUCUGCAGUCACUGCCCUAGCAGAGGUUCCCCAUGAGGGCUCCGUCCCUGUCACAAAUUUGUGCCUGAACACCCACGCGUUUCCAUGCAUCCUCUGAAAUUUAGGCGUAGAUUCCCAAACCUCAAUUCUUGACUUCUGUGCACCCGCAGGCCCGACGCCUCAUGUAAGCUGCCAAGGCUUGGGGCCUUUACCCUCUGAAGCCAUGGCCUGAGCUGUACAUUGGCCCUUUAGCCAUGAUUGGGACACAGGGAACCAAGUCCUGAGACUGCACAGAGCAGCAAGUCCCUGCACUGGGCCCAUGAAACCAUUUUUUCCUCCUAGGCCUCCUGGCCUGUGAUGGUUUGAGUUGCCUUGAAGGUCUCUGACAUGCCCUGAAGACAUUUUCCCAUUGUCUUGGUGAUUAAUAUUCAGCUCCUCUUUACUUAUGCAAAUUUCUGCAGCUGGCUUGAAUUUCUCUCCAGAAAAUGGGUUUUCCUUUUCUAUCUCAUCAUCAAGCUGCAAAAUUUUUAAAACUUUUAUGCUUUGCUUCCUCUUGAACACUUUGCUACUUAGGAAUUUCUUCUGCCAGAUACCCUAAACUAUGUCUCUCAAGUUUAAAGUUCCACAGAUUUCUAGGGCAGGGGCAAAAUGCCAUCAGUCUCUUUGCAUAGCAAGAGUCACCUUUACUCCAGUUCCCAACGAGUUCUUCAUCUCCAUAUGAGACCACCUCAGCCUGGACUUCAUUGUCCAUGUCACUAUCAGCAUUUUCCUCAAAACCAUUCUGCAAGUCUCUAGGAAGUUCCAAACUUCCUCACAUUUUUCUGUCUUCUUCCGAACCCUGCAAACUGUUCAACCUCUGCCUGUUACCCAGUUCCAAAUUCACUUCCACAUUUUUAGAUAUCCUUAUAGCAACGCCCCACUACCUCAGUACCAAUUUACUGUAUCAGUCCAUUCUCAUGCUGCUAAUAAAGACAUAACCAAGCUUGGGUAAUUUAUAAAGGAAAGAGGUUUAAUUGACUCACAGUUCAUCAUAGCUGGGGAGGCCUCAGGAAACUUUCAAGCAUGGUAGAAUGUGAAGGGGAAGCAAGUCACCUUCUUCACGAGGUGGCAGGAAGGAGAAGCGCAAGCAAAGGGGGAAAAGCUCCUUAUAAAACCAUCAGAUCUUGUGAGAACUCACUCACUAUCAUGAGAAGAGCAUGGGGGUAACUGCCUCCAUGAUUCAAUUACCUCUCCCUGGGUCCCCAUCAUGAUAUGUGAGGAUUAUGAGAACUACAAUUCAAGAUGAGAUUUGGUUGGAGACACAGCCAAACCAUAUCAUGGGGUCUCACUUUAUUGCCCCGGCUGAUUUCAAACUCCUGGGCUCAAGUGAUCCUCCUGAUUUGGCCUCCCAAAGUGCUGGGAAUACAGGCAUGAGCCACCAUGCCCAGUCCUAAAGUCUAAAUUCUUAACAUCUAAAAUCCAGAAAAUCACAAUCACAGGAGAGUUGUACCACGUUAGUUGCAUCAUGUUAGGUACAACUGUUGCUUUGUUUUCUUUUUAUUUGGAAAUUAUGUAUGGUUUAAGGAGGUCCAUAUGGGUGCCACAUCUACAAGGGGUGGACUUGCAGACUUAAUUUCAGGUGUCAACUUGACUGGAUUAAGGAAUCCCUGGAAAGCUGGGAAAGCAUUAUUUUGGGUAUGACUGUGAUGGUUUUCUCAGAAGAGAUCAGUGUGUGGGUCUGAGCAGACUAGGUGGGGAAGAUCUGCUGUCACUGUUUUGAAUGUCUUGAAUAUCACAGAAGAAGUUAAAAUGAAAGUUAAAAAUGAACAAAAUCUUGUCUGCCAAAUUAUGUAAUCAUGUACCAAGCACCUCUACACGUAGCACCAUGCUUGCCUUCACAAAAUGCCUUUUGUCAGAUAAUAAAAAUAGUUCAACAAAUUCAGUGGCCUUCUGAGCCAGACACCUUCUGGCACAGAGCUUCCUCCAGUGCUACAAGAUAUAUUAAAUCAUGAACUAUUCUUGAUUAGGGAUUUGACUGUCAAAAAAGAUAAACAUAUUUGUUUAACAUAACAAAACUGGUGCAUGUUUCACUUUGGCUGAUGAACGGCACUUUCAAAACUGUCCCCAGUGGGUUUUUUAAAUCGACUUUAUGCAGUUUAUGCCCCCAUUGGAUUACAAAAUUCUGUAAUUUAAACUGCACGUUUAUGGUUUAAUAACUGGAAAAAGUGAAGUACUUUAUAAAAGCUUAUUUGAAGAUUUGGAUGGCUUUGCAGAAGAAAAUAGAUUUCAAUUGGAUCCCCAAAUUAUAAUGACAAGUUUUUAAUUAGGUGUGAUCAAAGCUUCUAAAAGUGAAUUGCAAGUUGUUACCAGUAAAAUUUAUAUCUUCCAUUCAGCCCAGCUCAUUUGCCAGAAAAUUCAGGAAUAGAAGGGAGGUCAUUCGAAGAGAUGAUGGCGCGGGACCCAGGACCUGAGGAAGCUGCAGUGGGUGAAGGGGAGAAACAGAGGAGCAGGGGCUGGAGAAAGAGUGGGAAAUCAUCAACUACCCUCCUUACUCCUGGUGUCUGGUGUUCGGAACCCAGAGGUCUUCUCUAGGGCCUCGGAGAAGCUUCCAAGUCUGUUCAUUUCUCUUUCCCCACGCCUGCUUGUAUCACAAAUAAAGAAAUUAUUGACAACUGAGUUCCUGACUAGUUGGCACGAUUUUAGGGACCCUUCACCUCAUCCGAGCCUCAUGAAGGUAGUGGGAGUCCCAUGGGUUAGUUAGCAAUAGUCCUUGAGAUUAUUUGGUCAUAUAAAUAAUCAAAAAACUCAUAGUCAUCUUGCUUUUCUCAUAAUGCCCAG
rnacentral:lncRNA from 10 species